rnacentral:rRNA from 1 species
GUGGGGAAUAUUGGACAAUGGGCGAAAGCCUGAUCCAGCCACGCCGCGUGAGUGAUGAAGGCCUUCGGGUCGUAAAGCUCUGUGGGGAGGGACGAAUGUCCCCGUGAAGAACGGGGGGUGACGGUACCUCCUUAGCAAGCACCGGCUAACUUCGUGCCAGCAGCCGCGGUAAUACGAAGGGUGCAAACGUUGCUCGGAAUCAUUGGGCGUAAAGCGCACGUAGGCGGCUUUGUAAGUCGGAUGUGAAAUCCCUCGGCUCAACCGAGGACGUGCAUCCGAAACUGCAAGGCUCGAGUAUGGAAGAGGGUCGCGGAAUUCUCGGUGUAGAGGUGAAAUUCGUAGAUAUCGGGAGGAACACCAGUGGCGAAGGCGGCGACCUGGGCCAAUACUGACGCUGAGGUGCGAAAGCGUGGGGAGCAAACAGGAUUAGAUACCCGAGUAGUCC